AUUGAACGCUGGCGGCGGGCCUAACACAUGCAAGUCGAGCGGAUGAAGGGUGCUUGCUCCUGGUUUCAGCGGCGGACGGGUGUGUAAUGCCUAGGAAUCUUCCUGGCAGCGGGUGAUAACGUCCGGAAACGGGCGCUAAUACCGCAUACGUGCUGAGGGCUAAAGGGGGGGAUCUUCGGACCUCCGGCUAUCAGAUGAGCCUAGGUCGGAUUAGCUAGUUGGUGGGGUAAAGGCCUACCAAGGCGACGAUCCGUACCUGGUCUGAGAGGAUGAUCAGUCACACUGGAACUGAGACACGGUCCAGACUCCUACGGGAGGCAGCAGUGGGGAAUAUUGGACAAUGGGCGAAAGCCUGAUCCAGCCAUGCCGCGUGUGUGAAGAAGGUCUUCGGAUUGUAAAGCCCUUUAAGUGGGGAAGAAGGGCAGUAAGUUAAUACCUUGCUGUUUUGACGUUACCAACAGAAUAAGCACCGGCUAACUUCGUG
rnacentral:rRNA from 1 species